rnacentral:rRNA from 1 species
CCUACGGGUGGCUGCAGUCGAGAAUCUUCGGCAAUGGACGCAAGUCUGACCGAGCGAUGCCGCGUGCGGGAUGAAGGCCUUCGGGUUGUAAACCGCUGUCAGAGGGAAGGAAAUUUUGACCGAACCUCAGAGGAAGGACGGGCUAAGUUCGUGCCAGCAGCCGCGGUAAGACGAACCGUCCGAACGUUAUUCGGAAUUACUGGGCUUAAAGGGUGCGUAGGCGGCCCUGUAAGUCAGGUGUGAAAUCCCACGGCUCAACCGUGGAACUGCGCUUGAAACUACAGGGCUUGAGGGAGAUAGGGGUGAGCGGAACUGAUGGUGGAGCGGUGAAAUGCGUUGAUAUCAUCAGGAACACCGGUGGCGAAGGCGGCUCACUGGGUCUCUUCUGACGCUGAGGCACGAAAGCUAGGGGAGCGAACGGGAUUAGAUACCCUUGUAGU